CGGGCCCUGAGACCUGAGAGGCCCAAGGUCCCAGCCAGAGGGUGCAGGUGCUGGCAGAUGAGUUUUGCAAGGGUCCCUCUUUCAGGAGUUCUCUUUACUUACCCUCUUCUUGGGGUCCUUCACAGAGAGAAAGAAUAUUCUGCCUUCUUUCCUGGGACUGGAAUUCUCCUCCACUUGGGACUACCCAGAUCUUGUUCCCAGAUGCCUCUUGGAAUACUUAGUGGAGAAAUGCUGGCUCACUGGUCCUCAGACCUGGAAGAAUCCUGGAGCUUCAGAACCACAGAUACCUACCGGGAUCACUUGAUGGUCCAUGGCACUAUGGACUCUGGAGGGAGACCUUUGUAAUAAAUCCCAGCUCUGCAGCUGACUAGCUGUGCGACCUGGGGUAAGAAACAUUAUGUCUUCAUGCCUUGGUUUGUUCAUCUGUAGAAGGGGUGUAACAAUAAUGUUACCCUCAUAGGUAAGGAAUGAAUGAGAAAUGCAUGGAUGCCACUUGGCAGACGGUUAAGUGCUCAAUAGAUGGGAAGCAGUAGCAGCAGCGACAUCUUACUAUUGUCUCCAUCUGCAUCCUUAGCACCACCAUUAUCAUCACCAUCAUUAUUCUUGACUCCUGAAGGCCAGGACCAGAAGGGAGGAUGGCUGCCCCUUCCCGUAGGUCUCCUGAGUGCCUCCUAGACACCCCACCCCCAACCCCUCACAGACAAGGGCCAUUUAGAAGCAUGCUUUUCUCUAAUUCAGUGCUUCCCAAACUGGAGCAUGCAGCAAAAUCACCACCACACACCGCACACACUGCUGGGC
rnacentral:lncRNA from 9 species